AGUUAUUCCAUGUUCUCUUUUAACUUCCACCAUCCCUUCAUUGCACGAUUCUAAUUCCUUAGCCAAUAGUCACUCACCUCAGCUGUAAAACUCUCCCUUAUAUAUACAAUUCAACCAUAUAUGCAGAAAACAGAAAAUUGCAUUUUCCAAGAGGUAGCAAUGGCAUCAGUCAAGGCUGCUGGCAUUCAACUCUUUGGGCAGGUCAAGAAGGAAGCCACUGAUGCUUCCUCCAAGUCCAAACCCGCUGCUUCCAAGCCCGCCGCCAAAAAGGCUGCUCCAAAGCCUCAGGAACCUAAGAAGAAGAAGGGAAAAGGUGGGAAAGCAGCGACCAAGCAGUAGUUGCCAGCCCCAAGUCAAGCGCAGACUUUUAUGACUUCAGACCCUGAUGAUCUAAGUUAAUUAUAAUACUAUACAUACAUAUGUUAUGCUCAGGAAACUUAAUUAAUUAGGGUUUCCUGUAAGUUAUGAUGAGAAAGAUAUUGCGCUAAUUAAAUAAAGACAGCAUCUAUGUAAUUAUCAUUA